rnacentral:rRNA from 1 species
AGUGAACGCUGGCGGUAGGCCUAGCACAUGCAAGUCGAACGGCAGCACAGUAAGAGCUUGCUCUUACGGGUGGCGAGUGGCGGACGGGUGAGGAAUACAUCGGAAUCUACUUUUUCGUGGGGGAUAACGUAGGGAAACUUACGCUAAUACCGCAUACGACCUACGGGUGAAAGCAGGGGAUCUUCGGACCUUGCGCGAUUGAAUGAGCCGAUGUCGGAUUAGCUAGUUGGCGGGGUAAAGGCCCACCAAGGCGACGAUCCGUAGCUGGUCUGAGAGGAUGAUCAGCCACACUGGAGCUGAGACACGGUCCAGACUCCUACGGGAGGCAGCAGUGGGGAAUAUUGGACAAUGGGCGCAAGCCUGAUCCAGCCAUACCGCGUGGGUGAAGAAGGCCUUCGGGUUGUAAAGCCCUUUUGUUGGGAAAGAAAAGCAGCAGGUUAAUACCCCGCUGUUCUGACGGUACCCAAAGAAUAAGCACCGGCUAACUUCGU